AUAUAUCAACACUCCCAUGUACAUGAACAGCCUUGCCCCAGGAAUUUUGCCCUGAAGUAACAGUUUUCAGUCCAUUGUGUCCUUUCUCUUAACAACCCUGACAGCCAGGAUAGUAGCUGAUUACAUGUACUUGACAGAAAAUGAUCAUGUCUUAGACAAGUCAAAGAAAUUCCUCCAGUCUUUCAGAGAAAUGACAGUU